rnacentral:rRNA from 1 species
UACGUAGGGGGGCAAGGCGUUGUCCGGAAUCAUUUGGGCGUAAAAGCGCGUGGUAGGCGGGCUCGGUAAGUCGCUGUGAAAGUCCAGGGCUCAACCCUGGGAUGCCGGUGGAGUACUCGUCGAGCUCGAGUCCGGAAGAGGCGAGUGGAAUUCCUGGUGUAGCGGUGAAAUGCGCAGGAUAUCAAGGAGGGAACACCGAUGGCGAAGGCAGCUCGCUGGGACGUGACUGACGCUGAGAACGCGAAAGCGUGGGGGAGCAAACAGG